rnacentral:pre_miRNA from 11 species
GAGUUCUGUUUCUUGUGGUUGCUUCAGUGAACAUUCAACGCUGUCGGUGAGUUUGGGAUUAAAGUGAAAACCAUCGACCGUUGAUUGUACCCUCCAGCUAACCAUCCUCCUCCUUCCUUCAUGCUUUC